CUACACGUGGAAAGAGUUGACUGCAGAUGACCACCUUAAACCAAGUGAUCGGUCACAGUCACAAAUGUGCAUGAGCAAACAACGGAGAGACAAAACACCCAGUGUCUCGUCUAGAAAGUGGAGUAACAUACAAACCAAAGUCAUGCGUAAUGAACCACUUGGACGCGGUAAAGGAGCACCGACUGAACUGAAGCAGAGGGUGGGCAUGGCUUGCAGUAAAGCACGUCGGCCUCCAGCAUGUACAACCAUUGGAUUUGCAAUGUCAUCCACAUCCUGUGAGGACCAAGGAUGGAUUGUACAGCCAAAGGAUGCGACCACCACUGAUGCACACUGGAGCAGUUUAUGCCAGUGGGUAGUGCACAGACUUCGGCAAGCUCGGAAACCUUUAGCGGAAACAGUUAAGGCUGAACUUCUGCUCCAGCAUUAUGGGGACUCAAAAAGGGCCCAUAAGCACAGGUGCACAGCAGGGGCCAAUGGAGUGCAGCGCUGUGUGGUGGGAGAUGGCCUACCCAGAGUCCCAGUGCCCAGCAUUGAGCCGUCACCACGCCAAAAGCUACACUACAGAGUCCCUGAUGGAACAUCG